AACGAACGCUGGCGGCAGGCUUAACACAUGCAAGUCGAACGGGUGUAGCAAUACAUCAGUGGCGCACGGGUGCGUAACGCGUGGGAAUAUGCCCUUUGGUACGGAACAACCUCGGGAAACUGAGGCUAAUACCGUAUAAUAUCUGCGGCUCAAAGAUUUAUCGCGAAAGGAUUAGCCCGCGUUGGAUUAGGUAGUUGGGGAGGUAACGGCUCACCAAACCGACGAUCCAUAGCUGGGCUGAGAGGAUGAUCAGCCACACUGGGAAUGAGACACGGCCCAGACUCCUACGGGAGGCAGCAGUGAGGAAUAUUGGAAAAUGGAGGAAACUCUGAUCCAGCCAUGCCGCGUGAGUGAUGAAGGCCUUCGGGUUGUAAAGCUCUUUUACCCCUGACGAUAAUGACGGUAAGGGGAGAAAAAGCCACGGCUAACUUCGUGCCAGCCGCCGCGGUAA
rnacentral:rRNA from 1 species